AAAAGUGGGGCUAAAGAACAAGGAGGAUAGAUGCUUGCAGCCUUCUGAAGUGAUGGGAUGUUAUUCUGUAUGGGUUGAAGCUUUCUGAGAUCUUAUGGUGACAGUGUUUAUGAUGGCCAUCUCGACGACGACAUAUGCUGUGACAAAGGUCUUGGUUCCUGUUCCUACCCUCAUUGUGACCAUAGUCCAGGUUGCCCAGUGCCUUGUGGCCCAGCUGUCUCCUCUGGAUCUCUGGUGACCUGACACAGCCACGGUGGACCUGCCAGGUGACAGCCAUGAGGCACAGCAGGAGGUGAAGGCUAAGCCUGGCCCCUUCUUCUGUGGAGCCUUUGUCGCCCCAGCGCACCUGAGGAAAGGUAGAGUUCAGGUGUGAGUGCACCUCAGGUCAGGGAAACUGCUGCAAAUAACAGAGGGUAAAUCUGGAAGAGGUGCUGGAUAAACAAGAGAGGAGGUACCGAGGAGAACACUACCUCUUCAGUCUUAGAAAGGGAAGCAGCCAGAUGAAUCCGGCUGCUGAAGGAAUGGCAGAAGAAAAGAAGCUAGAGAAGCAAUAAAAACCAGACGACUCCACUGCCACAUGGACUGCAAACAUGGAAGAAAUGACAAACUGGACCAGCAAGUUUGUCACUGGCCAUGGCACAGAAACCACCUUUACCUGCCAGCCUCAGAGAGCUCGUGCUUGAGGGAACUGCCAUCUCCAAAUCAUACCAACCUCCAUCCUCUUAAUUCCCCCAACUCCUCGUCCACCGUAGUAGGAAGCAUCCACCGUGGGCCACUUCUUGGAAGGCAAGGGCUCCUGUUCUUCUUCCUGGAGGCUCAUCAUAUGAAACACAGUGGAGGAAGCCCAGACUGUGAGGGUGCAGAUGGAGGCUGAGAUUUCCUGCCCUUGGACAGCCAGAGGCCCGAUGGACCCCCCCAGGUCCCAAGGGCUGCAGCACAGUCAGUUACUGAUCUAUGAGCAAAGAAAUCCUGUUGGGAGCCAUGUGUGGUGAUGGGCAAAAGAGAUUCUCCCUGUGCUCCACGCCCAAUGGAAAAGCUGCUCUCCAGUCUCGUGUGAGGUACGACACAUUUAAGGCCCACGUGCACAACACGUGCUCAACACCGUGGGCUCAUAUCUCCCUCCAUAAAUUCCAGCUAUCCUGUGUAAUACAAAAGGAAUUAAAGGACAGCAAAAAUGUGAGAGUAGAAAAUAUAUGUGUUAAGUUAGAACAGUCACUGGCUGCACAAGUGUGUGGUCUCUUCCAGAAGCAGUUUUUAUCUCUUCUAUAACCUGUGAUCAGACUGAGCAGGAUAUUCACACUGCCUGACUCCCAGGUGUAAGUGGGACACUCUGGCCUCUGCUUGGACAGCUGUCUGCCCGGAUGAACAAGAGCUGAGAGCCUACACUCCUCACUCGGGCCCCAGAGUUGCAGAGCAUUAGCACCUCUGCAGGCUCUAACCUCUCUCCCCACACACAGGCUCAAGGGCCAACUUGUGCCCCUCUGCUCCCUCCAGCCCUGGUGAGGGAAGAGCCAUGCCAGAAUGGGACCCAGCUGACUGUCACGCCUGGCCCUCAGGACAGGUCUCUGAGGGCAGGAAAGCCUCCCAGUACUUGGAAAGACACAGCUUUGCACAGCAAAGUGGAAGCAGAGGUUCUGUGUCUGAGGCCUUGCAAUGGCAAAGUCCAAAGAGAAACGGGGUGUGGGGAUUUUAGAAGGAGUGACAGAAGUCAUUCACUUACACACUCAGAAGCAGUGAUGGUUAACGAGCUGGACAUGAAAGACUGGCCUUCAUUCAAACUCACCAAAACCUCCAGGGUUCUGCCAAGAGACAAAGAAGAAACAUGAGCAGCCAUGGAAGAGCCAAGAAAGGCUCAUACCUGCUGUGCAGGCCCUUGUACCUACAGCCUCUGCUCCACAAGGAGUGUCCUCAGAGGGGAAAUGGAAGCCUGUGCUUAUUCCUAUUUGGGAAUAAGUUUGGUCUCCUUGACAAAGAGCUGCCCAAGUAGAGAAUACCCCUUCCUCAUUCCACAGAGCAGAAAGUACUCCUAGAAGUUUUCCAUAAAAUAAAUUGAAGUUCAGCUGUAAAAGUAGCAUUGUUUUGUCUGUUCCAUAACGAUCUCCUUAGUCACACACAGACAUUAUGGUUAAAGAUGUCGGAUAAUUAUAAAUGGUCAGGACUUGCUAUAAAUAGCCCCGAACACUGUAUACAAAUAAUAUGUGGUUUACAUUUUACAAAUUAACCCUACAAGAAAACAACACAUGGUGGAUGUUAAACAGAAUAAGACUCCUCAGCUUCUCUGGCUUGGAUUCCCAGGAUUCAGACAGUUUAUGUUAUGCAUAGAUGUAAUUAAAUAAAAAUGUAGAUAUCCAUGAACU